rnacentral:rRNA from 1 species
CCUACGGGUGGCUGCAGUGGGGAAUAUUGGUCAAUGGGCGCAAGCCUGACCCAGCAACGCCGCGUGAAGGAAGAAGGCUCUCGGGUUGUAAACUUCUUUUAAGAGGGAAGCGCAGAAGACGGUACCUCUUGAAUAAGCCACGGCUAACGACGUGCCAGCAGCCGCGGUAAUACGUAGGUGGCAAGCGUUGUCCGGAUUUCCUGGGUGUAAAGGGCGUGUAGCCGGGCUGACAAGUCAGAUGUGAAAUUCCGGGGCUCAACCCCGGACCUGCAUUUGAAACUGUUGGUCUUGAGUAUCGGAGAGGCAGGCGGAAUUCCUGGUGUAGCGGUGAAAUGCGUAGAUAUUAGGAGGAACACCAGUGGCGAAGGUAGCCUGCUGGACGACAACUGACGGUGAGGCGCGAAAGCGUGGGGAGCAAACAGGAUUAGAUACCCUGGUAGUC